UAGUUUACUUGAUAUGAAUAUAGGAUUGUAGUAUUUAGUUCAUGGAAUAUAAGAUUACUUAGAAUUCAGGACAGGAGAUUAACUUCGAUAAGUUGGGUCUUUUAUUUAGUUCGAACAUCAUAGAAGAAAAUGAAAACGAUUAUCGAUGCAUUCUUUACACUUCCACUGUGUCUAAUCUGGAGAAAUAUUUGGGCCUCUCGAAAAUAGUAGGAAGAAAUAAAAGAGAGGCGUUUGUUCACAUGAAGGACAAGUAUCGGAGUCGAAUUGCCGGUCUACUUGGGCACUAUCUUAAGGGGACUUUGUGCCUUGAGUUGACUGGAAUCAUGGCUCGGUUUUGGUGGUAGAACUCUGUGUCACUUCAAGGGAUCUAUUGGUGUUUGUGGAAAAAAUUAUGUCAGCUAAAGGAUGAACGAGAUUUGGGUUUUGGGACAUGAGUAAGUUUAACAAUGUGCUCCUAGCUAAGCAAGGGUGGAGGAUUAUGAUGAGCCUGACAUCGCUAGCUAGUUGGGUUUUACGUGGGAAGUAUUAUAUUACGGGGGAUUUUACGAACGUGAGAUUUUGUUUCACCCCAUCGUAAAUUUGACGCAGUUUGUGGUAUGCGUGAGGUUUGUUCGAAAAAGGCUUAAGAUGGAGAGUUAGGAAUGGUCAUUCCAUCUUUAUAUGGAAUGAUUUCUGGAUAGCAUUAAGAAGCCUACGUUGUGUUGAGUCUCGGAGGGUGGAUACAGUUGAGUUUGUCUUAGAUUUUAUUGUGACGGACACUAUGUCUUGGAGGGAAAAUCUAACCACGAAAAUAUAUAAUGAAGAUGAGGCAAGGUUGAUUUUGAGUAUACCGAUUGUUAGCUUCUGUCAAGAAGGUUGCCAUGUUUGGAGUGGUGAAAAGACGAGAGGGUAUAGCGUUAUGAGUGGAUAUCGACUGCUCCUUGGGGAUGUUGAUGUUUCCUUACCAGUUAAAGCAUGUUAAUUACAUUUGGGCUAGUGCAUGUCAACAAAUUUUGAUGAUUAUAUGGGGAUUGUGGUUUGCACGAAAUUGGUUCUAUCACGAGGGUAAGAAGAUACAAAGGGAGGAAUUUUUUAUCUUUGUUCGAUCGCAUUGUUUGGAAUUCAGGACUGCCUAUACAAGAAUUCGAAGUCAUGUGACUCAGGCUCCGGAUAAAUGGCACGCUCCUAAUCCUUUGAGUGUGUAGGCAACCUUUGAUGCUCGAUACAUUCAUGCACAACAAAAAGGUUUGUCAGGGGUUAUUAUUCUCGAGCAUGAAGGCUACAUUCUAGGUGCAUUUUAGAGGAAGUUUUUGAGAGUUACCUCGACUUUAAUGGUGGAGGCUACGACGGUGAUUCACGCCGUUAAAUUUGCUGUAGAGUUGGGCUUCCAAAAUAUUGUGAACGAAGGUGAUGCGAAAGUGGUGGUUGAUAAAGUUGCUUCCUUGGUGCGUGAUUUCAUGGCAAAAAGCUCAUUGAUUUUAGAGGCGAAAAGGAAAUUAGAGGUCCUCACCGCUUGUACCUUUUGAUUCACCCCUUGUACUGGUAACAAUGUUACUCAUAUGCUUUCAGCUGAUGAGGAAGACCGAUUAUGGAUUGAAG